CACAUCCCCAGUCUUUUCUUUUGUUUUUUCAGACAGGGUCUGUGUAAUCCAGGCCGGACCUCGUUGUCUAGUCCCAAGCCACCUUCAAACUCGUGGCAGUUCUCCCAUCUCAGCCUCUCAAGUGCUGCAGUCCCAGCUAUUCAGCAGACUGAGGCAAGAAGAUUGCAAGUUCAAAGGCAACCUGGGCAACUUAUUGAAACCUUGUCAUGAAAGAAAACAUUAAAGGAAACAUGAGUGUGGAAUUUAGCCAGUGGGGAGUACACAGCUAGUGCGGAAAUCUUUCUGGAAUAAGCAUCCAACACUGAGAGUGGAGGAGAGAAGAUGUCACCAGUGGACUGAAACCAGGACAGGUCCUGAAAGGCUUUGAUCCUGGGCCAUUUAUAUUCUCAUCAUUUUUCUAAAACCACCAGUCUCACACUAGAGAGACCAAGAACCUAGCAAUCAUCCGGUGCACGAGGAUGCUGUCUCAGUGACCCUGAUCUGGCACCAGAGGCCUGGCCUUCAGUCCAUGUUGGAAUCCCAAGGAAGAUGGUUCUAACAUUGGUGAAGGAUUGCCGCAGCAACAGAAAUGCAGGCUGACCAGCAAGAGUGAGAGCAUGCAGGCAAAAAAGCAGUUUUCUUCUCCAUGUCCUAUUCUGUGUCAGAGGGUGACACUCAAGCCAGGCAGUGGUGGCGCAUGCCUUUUAUCCCAGUGCUUGGGAGGCAGAGGCAGGUGGAUCUAUGGGAGUUGAGGCCAGCCUGGUCUACAGAGGGAGUUCCAGGACAGCCAGGGCUACACAGAGAAACCCUGUCUCAAAACAAAACAAAACCCUAAACAAAUAAACAAAGAAAAAAAGAACAAAGACACAAAGAAAGGGAAAAAAGAGAGAGCAAGCGGGGCACCAGCAGCCUCUGCUCCCUGACUGUGGAUGCCAUGGGACCAGCGACCACAAGCUCCUGAUGUCCUGCCUUCCCCGCCAUGACAGACUGUGUUCCCAGAAGUGUGAGCUAAAAUAAAGCCUCCGUCCUCUG